UACGAAGGGGGCGAGCGUUGUUCGGAAUUACUGGGCGUAAAGGGCGCGCAGGCGGCCUUAGAAGUCAGAUGUGAAAGCCCCGGGCUCAACCUGGGAAUGGCAUUUGAUACUCUGAGGCUGGAGUACGGGAGAGGAGAGUGGAAUUCCCAGUGUAGAGGUGAAAUUCGUAGAUAUUGGGAAGAACACCGGUGGCGAAGGCGGCUCUCUGAACCGUAACUGACGCUGAGGCGCGAAAGCGUGGGGAGCAAACAGG
rnacentral:rRNA from 1 species